UACGGGGGGAGCAAGCGUUGUUCGGAUUUACUGGGCGUAAAGGGCGCGUAGGCGGCGCAACAAGUCACUUGUGAAAUCUCCGGGCUUAACCCGGAGCGGCCAAGUGAUACUGUCGUGCUAGAGUGCGGAAGGGGCUACUGGAAUUCUCGGUGUAGCGGUGAAAUGCGUAGAUAUGUGGAGGAACACCGAUGGCGAAGGCAGCCCCCUGGGUUAACACUGACGCUCAUGCACGAAAGCGUGGGGAGCAAACAGG
rnacentral:rRNA from 1 species